GUUGCAGCUGAGCGCGAACUUGCUUAUCAGCAAAAAUAAGACAGAAAAGGAUCAGGACACGGAGAGACAUUGACACAUAAAUAUGUAUUUUGCACUUAGCAGCCCCUUUGAAAGAGGCACAAGGUAUGUUUGUGUGUAAAGAUGAGCAAUUUGGAAUGUUACAUGGAACUGAAUGUGUACAUUUGUUGAUUUUUAUUACUAAAGCUAAGGUCUGUCUUAUGGUUGUAAGAGUUAGCAUUUAUAGCUUACACGUUGCUUUGUGUUUUCUCGCUCUUACGGUGAAGUUUGAGGGUUUACUGCCAAUAAAUCCAAAAAACUCAUCAGAGGAAUACGGAUUGCAUUCACAGCUUCUUUGAGCCACAAAACAAACUGCUUUGGCCCUUUCACCAGGAGCAGGCCGAUUCCUGAUGACACUGUCACCCUCAACCAUGGAAGUGGAUAUAACCCUGCACGAGGUAUAUUCACAGCACCUCGCUCUGGACUCUGCUCCUUCUCCUUCUCGGUGUACUCGAAGGUGGGUGCAUCAGGUGAGAGGAUGUACUACAAGGUAUGACUCAUGAGAGAUGGGGAAGUGAUGGCCUCAACUUGGGAAGACAACAGGGAGGAUUCAGAGGACAGCAGCUCUCAGUCUUCUGUCACUGCAGCAAGGAGGCCAGAUGUAUGUAGAGCUGCUUAACGGCAGGCAGCUAUGUGGGAAUGCUGAGGGCCUGAACAGCUUUUCUGGCUCCUUAAUUUAUCACACUCUGCCCAAAUAAUGAUUUAUUUCUAUGUGGCUUCAGUGUUUCAUGGGUUUACUUUUUUGUGGAAAUUACCACAGGAAAAUAAAAAGCAUGCAUGCAGGAUGUUAAUGGCAUAUACUGUAUGUAACUGUGUGACCUUUUUUGAAGAUACAAUUCUGAAAUUGCACAUAUAUGUCUGUUUAAAGAAUAAUAAA